UUUUAUUUCAUUUGAAUGCUCUUCCUUUAUAUAAAUCCAAUUUUAAUAUCUAUAUCAAAUUCCUCUCCUCUGGAGGAAUUCUUUUAACAUUUUGUGUGUUUGUGUGCGUGUGUUUAAAUUUAAGGGGUACAGACCGGGUGAGGUGGAUGAUGUCUGUAAUCACAGCACUUUGGGAGCCCGAGGCGGGCAGACUGCAAGGUCAGGAGUUUGAGACAAGCCUAACCAACAUGGUGAAACCCCGUCU
rnacentral:lncRNA from 1 species